AAACCACUUAGGUUACUACUAAACCAGCAGCCUUCAAAGCUUCUAAAAAGAGUACAAACCUCUUAGCUCCUG
rnacentral:tRNA from 1 species